UCAGAUGAUGACGGCUAUGUUGGCGUCUUGGACUAACCGCACGGAUCCACCACAAAUGGGACCCCCACCACCACCUGCGGGAGAACCCCCACACGUGCCCACGUUCGAUGAAUGGGUGGCACUAGGCAGUGAUGGUUCGGGGACCGGUGGCUCGACUCCUGCUCCGUCGACCCCAGUCACUCCGAUCUGGCAGAGUGGUGGUGGUCGCGAUGACGGUUUUGGCGGAGGUGGUGGUGGUUAUGGCGGAGGUGGUGGUUUUGGCGGGGGUGCUCUUGCUUGAUGAUUCCGUGCAUGUGGCCAUCGUGCCAUGCCUUUCAUAUUCCUACUUUUAUCAUGUUUCAUGUCUUGCACUACUUUUAUGUUCAUGAACU